rnacentral:rRNA from 1 species
AUAGGGGAGCCGGAGGGAAACCGAGUCUUAAUUGGGCGUUAAGUUGCAGGGUAUAGACCCGAAACCCGGUGAUCUAGCCAUGGGCAGGUUGAAGGUUGGGUAACACUAACUGGAGGACCGAACCGACUAAUGUUGAAAAAUUAGCGGAUGACCUGUGGCUGGGGGUGAAAGGCCAAUCAAACCGGGAGAUAGCUGGUUCUCCCCGAAAGCUAUUUAGGUAGCGCCUCGUGAAUUCAUCUCCGGGGGUAGAGCACUGUUUCGGCUAGGGGGGCAUCCCGGCUUACCAACCCGAUGCAAACUGCGAAUACCGGAGAAUGUUAUCACGGGAGACACACGGCGGGUGCUAACGUCCGUCGUGAAGAGGGAAACAACCCAGACCGCCAGCUAAGGUCCCAAAGUCAUGGUUAAGUGGGAAACGAUGUGGGAAGGCCCAGACAGCCAGGAUGUUGGCUUAGAAGCAGCCAUCAUUUAAAGAAAGCGUAAUAGCUCACUGGUCGAGUCGGCCUGCGCGGAAGAUGUAACGGGGCUAAACCAUGCACCGAAGCUGCGGCAGCGAACGUAUCACCCAAGACAACUUUACGGAGUUGACGAUUGACGGAGCGAAGCGACGUCAAAGCGUUCAUUAAAGUCGAGUUGGCUUAGGGAUACGUUCGUUGGGUAGGGGAGCGUUCUGUAAGCCUGUGAAGGUGUGUCGUGAGGCAUGCUGGAGGUAUCAGAAGUGCGAAUGCUGACAUAAGUAACGAUAAAGCGGGUGAAAAGCCCGCUCGCCGGAAGACCAAGGGUUCCUGUCCAACGUUAAUCGGGGCAGGGUGAGUCGACCCCUAAGGCGAGGCCGAAAGGCGUAGUCGAUGGGAAACGGGUUAAUAUUCCCGUACUUGGUGUUACUGCGAAGGGGGGACGGAGAAGGCUAUGUUGGCCGGGCGACGGUUGUCCCGGUUUAAGCGUGUAGGUGUGUGUUCCAGGUAAAUCCGGUUCACUUUAACACUGAGGCGUGACGACGAGGCACUACGGUGCUGAAGCAACAAAUGCCCUGCUUCCAGGAAAA